CCUACGGGUGGCAGCAGUGAGGAAUAUUGGUCAAUGGGCGGGAGCCUGAACCAGCCAAGUCGCGUGAGGGAAGACGGUCCUAUGGAUUGUAAACCUCUUUAGGCGGGGAGCAAUGCCGGGCACGUGUGCCCGGAGGGAGAGUACCCGCAGAAUAAGCAUCGGCUAACUCCGUGCCAGCAGCCGCGGUAAUACGGGGGAUGCGAGCGUUAUCCGGAUUUAUGGGGUUUAAAGGGUGUGUAGGCGGAUUUUUAAGUCAGCGGUAAAAUGUCCGGGCUCAACCCGGGCCUGCCGUUGAAACUGGUGAUCGUGAGUGGGCGAGAAGUAGGCGGAAUGCGUGGUGUAGCGGUGAAAUGCAUAGAUAUCACGAAGAACUCCGAUUGCGAAGGCAGCAUACCGGCGCCCGACUGACGCUGAGGCACGAAAGCGUGGGGAUCGAACAGGAUUAGAUACCCUUGUAGUC
rnacentral:rRNA from 1 species